AUGCACGCGCUGCACGCAUGGACCAGUUUUUUCUGCGUCAUGCAUUGUAUUUGCGGGGUCUGUGCGCGCGGCAUGUGCAUAACGGUCCACAGGGCAGACUGUACCGGUGGUAAAUGGACUCAUGCAUCAUCACAAAGGGUCAAACUAAACUGGCAUUUACAAAGUCUAGGCCGGUGCCAGAGCAGUUUAAAAAAGAGACAACAGAAAAAUGUGUUGAAUUUGUUUGCCAAGACAUUCGACCGUAUGAUAGUGUGUCCGGAAAAGGUUUUAAUCAGCUGGCCCAACAUUUGGUCGACACAGCAGCAAAAAUCGGAAAGUUUAAUGUCAGUGAGAUACUUCCACAUCCAACAACAGUAUCAAGAAAUAUUGAAAAGAGGGCUCAGAGUCUGCGUUUUUAUUUAUUUUUUCUCUUCGACAUUUUUCCCCUACUGUGUUGGCAGUAAAAUGUUAAAUUUCGUAUCUUGACAAGGCGAAUAAAAUAAUAAAUACAAUUUUUGUGCAGGCAACAUUUUUAUUUUCUCCGUGGAAAUGGAAAUUUGAAAUUUUGGAAACGAGAUCUAAAUUUAGCAGGGUGGUCGGGUCGGGAAGAAAAUUAUUCUAAGCAGACAGCGGGUGAACAAAGAGUUCAUAUAUAUCGGGAACGGGAGGGUGCGGAUAUAAACCCAGCGGGUUUUCUAGCUACUGCUGCCAUAUCACAACCAACCUGUAAAUGGCGGUGAUUUCCUUUCCCUUUCCCCUUCACCAUUAUCUGCAUCUUCAUCUUUCCCUGGGCCUGCGUUGAAAUAUGAUGUUAAUUUCGAAUUUUUUUUUUUAACAAACUGUUCUGACGUUCUACUUUAUCUUGUGCUGUUUUUCUUUUUUGCGAACCACUGUCAUAUUUACGAGACAUUGCUGUCACAUUAGAUUAGCCAUUAGAUUAGUUAUUGUCAUCAUUAGAAUAGGCGGCAAUUAUCUUAUAAAGAAUUCAACGUAAGUAUGUCACGUGAGUUCGAUACAGGCCAAUAACUGAAUGCUUUCAGACAAUGAUAAAUUUUAUUGGAUUUCAGACAAUUAAACAAUGCCCACUGUGACUGAUGAUUGAGAGGGUUUGACUGACACUUCUCGAGCAGGACUUGCAACGCCCGCACGUGCAUUAAAAGCAAAGCGAUAAAGCGUAAUUUUAAAGGGACAGCCAACGAAUUAUAAAAUCCGAUUACAAUAUUUUCCGGCAUCAUUGGCGCCCUCCCCCAGCCCGGGGCCCUGGGCUUAAGCCCAGGUAAGCCCGUGCAUUAAUGCGGCCCAGGUCAGCAGGCCCAGAGAGAUUUCAUGCGUGCAGGUUCACGUGAGCGUACAGAUGAAAUAUUUUGUUGAUAGAGACACAAGCAGCGCCGCGCCGACACGACAGCUCGGAAAGCACCGGCGUUGCAAUGUCCUCGAUUUUUCUGAGGAAUUGGGAUAUUGUAACACUGUUGCUGCGGGUUGCUUUACAUGUCCACGAGUUGAAGCGACCCCAAUAAUGUGAUAUUUAGCGCCUGGAAUGUGAAUUUUUUUUUUUUUUCGUCAGGGAAACGCGUUUUCCCUUCUCGAAACGCGAUUGGGAUAGUUUUGAGUAGCAAUUGGCGGUUUUUGAAAAAAACCUGGCAACACUGGAAAGCACUCGGAACUCCGCCAAUGUUUCACUUCCUCUGCCGAGGAAACUCCGAAGCCUGUGUAUCAUCCAACGCUACUAACGACCAAAAACAUUCACGACACCAGAGCAAAGCCAACUAUCUAAUGUGCAUCUUGAGAGGAAUGUCAAACUCGCAAUAGCUUGCAGGAGACGAACUUAACUGCAAGUAACCCAGUGAAAAUCAGGCAAUAGCCUAAACGACAGUUUGCGCAAAAAUGACAGCGGCGGUAUCUGCAAACACAAAAUAGGAUGUGAGUAGUGCGCUUUUAUAUCCAUCGUGUUGAAAGCCGAUUGGCUAGACCUUAAUUGUAAUGUGACGUGACAUUUAGUCUUCCUAGUAGAACUUACGCUUACGCUUCCAUUUCCUACAAACCUGCAAAAAUAAGACUGUUAUUCACCGAAAUACCUCAGCAUUGCUCUGUUGACCAAUCACUCACCUGCUAUCCACGUGUAUCUGUCAAAACCUGCAAUAAACCUGUUGUUUGGAUUACCACGUUCCAUUCUUCUGUUUUAUGACAAGUACAUUCACAAAAAAAAAAAUUCAAACAGUCAAUGUUUUUUUGUUUUGUUUUUUUCAUGAGUGAAUGAAUCUGUAACCAAAGAUCAAUUAAAAGUCUUUUGUUUUGUUAGUGCAUGCAUAUCAUUACAUUGCAAAUCAAUGUUUUGCACACUGAUUUGCAUAAAAAAAUGUAGCAUAUCCUCAGCAAGAGAGUAAAAUGCCUUUCAGACUUGUGUAUACAGUUCAAAUCAAUUGAUUGGUGUUUUUAAAGUAAUUAAUUUAUUGGAAUAAAUGUGUAACCAUCUAAUGCUUUGUAUACUAUAUUUUUGCCAUUUGAUUUGGUGUUUCCUAUGCACCAUGAAUACUAUACAUACCAUCAUAGUUUAGACUCAACAGUUUGGGGGAGGUACUAUUUUCAAAAAAUGUUUUUGAAGAAAGUCUCUUAUGCUCACCAAGGCUGCAUUUUAUCAAAAAUACGGUAAAAUUGUGAAAUAUUUUUAAUUCUUCUUUUUUGGAAAAAGGUUCAAUUUUAUUAUAUUAUGUGUGAAUUAUGAAUAAAAUGUAACUUUACUUUUUAAUAAUUUUUCAGCAAGUCAUUUCUCAAGUCUUCAGCCUCACAUGAUCCUUCCUGAUGUUGAAAACAUCAGUUCUGCUCAAUAUUUUUGUGGAAACUGUGAUACAUUUUUCAGGAUUCUUUGAUUAAUAUUAGUUUUAAAAAACAGCAUUUAUUUGAAACAGAAAUACUUUGUAACAUUAUAAAUGUCUUUAUUGUCACUUUUGAUCAAUUUAAUGCAUCCUUG
ensembl:lncRNA